GGGGCUGAACUGGUAUCGACUCUGAUCAGACCGAGACAGGGGAAGCGAGCCGAGGACUCCGGGUGUGACCUCGUUAAAUAUUCUCGGAACAACAAUAAAUGCCGCUGCCUAACAGCACGGUCGCCAUUCCUUAGCAAUGGCCGUCGGCCCGGGAUUCGCCUGCGCUCCCGGGAUCCGGCGUCGCCUAGCAGGCUUACCGCCCGGCGUGUGCUCGGGGCAAUGGGCGGGACAUCUAACCUGAGCUAGGCACCGGCCGCCGCCGUCUGCGGGCCGGCCGGAGCCGAAGCCCAACCGCAGACUACGCUCGUAGAAGUCCUGUCACGGGGUCGGAGGACCCGGGUUCGAUUCCCGGCAGCUCCACAA
rnacentral:sRNA from 1 species